AUUCUUUAUUUGAUUUGAAUAUUUAUUUUUUUUCUCCUCUCCCGAUGAUGCGUAAAAUAAAACUGAUGGAGGAUCCGUUACGUUGAAUUGCACGCGAAUAGAUCAUCCUAUUAGAUAAGGCCUCGUACACGUAUACACCAGUGUAAACCCUAUGGUAAAAGAAUUACGCGAGAGAAGGAUGAUUUACACCAUUGCUGAUUCCCGCGCAUUCCCGUGCUUUUACUCGACGCGUCGGUCUGCAACCUGCGAAGUCUGGACCCGCGCAAGCCACACAACACUCCAGGUCACAACAACAACAACAACAACAACAACAACGGCAACACCAACAUCGGAAAGUUUAGUCGCUUCUCAACCCUACGCUACUACAAAGAAAAUUAUCAAACGUCGACGUUAAUAUUUGUAUAAUAAUAUUGUAAUAUUGAAAAAAUAUAUCCCUAAAUUUCGAAACAAAA